rnacentral:rRNA from 1 species
GUACACUCCUGCGGGAGGCAGCAGUGGGGAAUAUCGCACAAUGGGCGCAAGCCUGAUGCAGCCAUGCCGCGUGUAUGAAGAAGGCCUUCGGGUUGUAAAGUACUUUCAGCGGGGAGGAAGGCGAUAAGGUUAAUAACCUUGUCGAUUGACGUUACCCGCAGAAGAAGCACCGGCUAACUCCGUGCCAGCAGCCGCGGUAAUACGGAGGGUGCAAGCGUUAAUCGGAAUUACUGGGCGUAAAGCGCACGCAGGCGGUCUGUCAAGUCGGAUGUGAAAUCCCCGGGCUCAACCUGGGAACUGCAUUCGAAACUGGCAGGCUAGAGUCUUGUAGAGGGGGGUAGAAUUCCAGGUGUAGCGGUGAAAUGCGUAGAGAUCUGGAGGAAUACCGGUGGCGAAGGCGGCCCCCUGGACAAAGACUGACGCUCAGGUGCGAAAGCGUGGGGAGCAAACAGGAUUAGAAACCCGUGUAGUCCCAUGAU